rnacentral:rRNA from 1 species
UACAGAGGUCUCAAGCGUUGUUCGGAUUCAUUGGGCGUAAAGGGUGCGUAGGCGGCGCGGUAAGUCGGGUGUGAAAGUCUCGGAGCUUAACUCCGAAACUGCAUUCGAUACUGCCGUGCUUGAGGACUGGAGAGGAGACUGGAAUUUACGGUGUAGCGGUGAAAUGCGUAGAUAAUCGUAAGGAAGACCAGUGGCGAAGGCGGGUCUCUGGACAGGUUCCUGACGCUGAGGCACGAAGGUCAGGGGAGCAAACGGG